AUGGCACAGGCGCUGCCACGCCGCCGCGCAGACCCAUCUCAGCUCCAGCUCGUCGCCGCCCACCGCACAGCAUCCACGCCUCCCCGCGCACUUGCCCUCGGCCUCGCCUCCGCGCGCCACCGCUCGCCCUGCCCCACGCUCGUCCCGGCCUCGCCUCGCCUGCGCCGUCUCCCCUCCCCCCUCCCCCGCCUCGCCUUCCCCGCGAUCGUCCUGCCGCGGCCGGCCUUGUCGAGCUCCUGGCCGUGCUCCGCCGUGCCCGGCCGCGGUCCUCGCUUCCCCCGGCCGUGCCCGAUCCCCGCGCGCGCCGCCCUGCCCCUCCUGGUCGCGCGCCUGGCCAGGCCCCGUGACGCCCGGCAGCGCCAGGCCUCGCCGCGCCCGACCCCUGCAGCGCCCGGCCUAGCCGCGUCCGGCAGCGCCUGGCCUGGCCUCGCCCCGCCGCGCCCUCGCGCUCGCCGCACCAUGCUCUUGGCGCUCGCGGUGCUUGCGCAUCAGCCUCCCCGCGCGCUACGAACUCCCCUGCCCUGCCUACUAUGUGUUUGA
rnacentral:rRNA from 1 species